rnacentral:lncRNA from 1 species
AAAAAAUGGAUAACAAAGGGUUUUGAACUCGACAAUCAUGUUGUGUGAUUUUUCUUUCUUUUUCUUUUGCAUCAAAUAAACUCUGGGGGUUAAUUUUACUCUUUAGACUCUUUUUUUACUCGAAUUUUUGUGAGCAUUUUGUAGGUGUGAGAGUCUUAGAUAUCGGCAAGUGCGUUUUUCUCUUUUUCUUUUUUUUUUCUGU